CUGUGCUUUACCUCUGAGCCAUCCCUCCAGCCCAACACUAAACUUUCUUAAUGCUAAUGAGAAAGGACAAACAUCUACAGAAAGACACUGGACUACAGAAAAAAACUGCUGAACUAAAUCAGCCGGUAUAAUUCAAAGAUGUACUGACUUCUGUAUGGAAAUCAGGACAUGUGUUACAUUGGGGAAGGGGUUUCACUUUUGUUUCCACAGGAGAAGAAAAGCUUUGGAUACCAUCAAAGUUCAUCAAGAUUCGAGUCAAAAAAGAAAAACCUCUCGAUGAGGAGAAAUGACAGGUCAUCCACCAAGUUCCCCACAGCCAAUGAAGAACUUCCUAACAGCAGUCCUUGAACUCUCUGGAAAGAAAUUGGUCCCCACCUGGAUCAAGUCCACUGGAUCCAACUUGAUUCGUUUGAACUGACACUCUGGCCAGAGCUUCAGGUACUGACUUCAAUCAGCACAAGGACUUCAAUCAAGAUAAGGACUUCAACCUAGACCUUCAAUAAAGCAUCUCUCAUCAAACACGGACUGGAUACAUGUGUUGCAGAUAAUCCACUCAAGACUUUGACUAUUCUAACUUGGAGAAUACUACGCCCCCUUUUCCCACUGUUGACCCUAAGGAUAAUGUAUACCUAGUUAGGGCUAGUUUCCUAUUGUUUAGGGUUGGGUUUGGAAGGAGGUGUUCGGGCUUAGACAUCUCUUUCAGAUCACUUUAGAAUUUAGAUGGAAUACAUAUAGUUAG
rnacentral:lncRNA from 1 species